GGUUAACGUCAGGGGCGUGAGCGAAGAAGGGGCGUCCCAGGAAGAGGGACAGGGAAACGUUGGUAGUCAGUGAAAAAGAGAAAGAUAGUUCCUCUUAGCCUGGUCUACACGCCACCUCCGGCGGUACGUUCAGCUCCACGCGACUUCACGAGUGAAACAUUUCGCGGGUUUCGCGGGGAGCUUUUCCGCAAGACUCGCCGGUAGUGGGAGGUUCAAGGUGGUAGAGGAGUGAAGGAAGGACAACGGUAUUCCCGUUAAUUGAACGACUCUCUCGCGUGGGGAAGGAGGUACCUGGGAGGGAGACGCGACACUCUCUACUCCGGAUCGAGAAGAGGGAGAAGGAUUACUUGCAGUAAUUACUUAUUUUUAUUACGCUCCGCCUUCCUGUCCUCUUUUCCUCUCCUUCAUACUCGAUACUCACUCUACUCCCUUCCCCAAUCUUCGUCCUCAUCGUCGUCGUCGUCGUACGUUCAACGUCGCCAACGGUUAGUCACUUAUCGCCGAGGAGCGUUAUUGUGCUUUCCCUUUUUUUUUCCUUUCCCUUCUCCCUUUUUCUUUCUUUCUUUCACCCCUUUUUUUUUUUUUACCUAUUUCUUCCUUUUUUCAUGUUCUUCCACUCGUGCGCGCUAGGUUGUCCGCUUUUGAGCAGUUCGAAUACGCUCUCCUUUCCCGCCCGUUUCUCGAGCAUGGUUCUUCGUUCAUUCUUUUCAUUUGCGAUCGGAGCAAUUCGAUUUAAGGAUAACUGUGAAAUUAAAGAAACAUUUUAUCAACUCCCUUUGUUUUUCUUUUUUUCUUUUUUUAGUGCUAAUUAAUUAACUUCCGAUUUUGAAAGGAUCAAUCGAAAUGCUGUACUCUGAUACUGUGAACGAUUUCGAAUAAAGGCCAUUUAUCGUCCUGACGAACUUUUAACAACGAUGCUCUAGUUUUGUUAAUCAAUUGGAAGAAAGUUACCUCGUAUGUUAGAUAAAGAAAUGACCUAACCACCAGUUCGACCAGUUACCGCGGUUCAACUUUGCUGUUUUUCUUAACCAGUAGAUGCGACUUUAGAUAAGAGUUUUGACAAGUGCGCCUGCGACCGUCUAUGGGGUGCCGACUGAACGACGAGCCAUGCCUUCAGGAACUCAGGGAGAGGCACGUACGAGCGAGUGGACAUGACAUCCGCCUACGCUAGGCUACCACCAUCUAAGGUGCGUUUAUUUUGGCGACCUUUACGACACGAGUUUACGAUCGGCUGAACGGAUUCUGUUGAACUUCGUAAUGAUUUUCGGAAGUUUGCGGAAAAAACAUCGGGGACGAGAAAAAAAGAUUUUUGGACCGUUCAACUCUAUCGGGGAGAGGGUUGCUUUCAGCCAAGGAGAAACAAUAAAAUUCGUUAAAUUAUUAGCCGUUAUAUUGGACGGGACUAGACAGGAGAAGUAAGAAAGUGACUCUUUUGAAAAAAAUGAAAUAGUAUUAAAAUAAGAAAGAAAGAAAAAGGGGGAACAACAAUAACAACAACAACGUUCGAUGAACGUAGAGAGAAAUGACCGAAUGGUGGAACGGACAGAGAGGGGGGGGUUGGUUGAAGAGGGACGCGAAAAGAACGACGCGUAUCCGUAUAGCUCAUGGAGAAAGGAACGAAAAGUUAAGAAAAGGCAAAGGUUCAACAGGGAUAAGUCCAACAGGAAUAUUGAAAGCCGGUCCUUCGAACGAGGCCAGCGAUCAAGAGAGCCAAUUAUCUCAAAGACCCACCACCACUACUCCUCGUUCCAACCCCUCACCUACCUGCUUUCUCUCUCUCUCUCUCUCUCUAUUUCUCUUUUCUUCUUUGCCCCCACAUACGCGUACUCACGUCGAACAUAUUUUUCCUACGUACCUUAUGCGAAUAUUCAAAGUACACUCAAGCUACCGAAGUACUAACAUACUCGAAUAGUAUAUUCGAACGCGCGUUCGUUCGUUCGUUCCAUUUCGUUUCGUUUCGUUUCGUUUCGUUUCGUUUCGUUCGUUUAUUCGAAGAGCACCGUAUACAUAAUGCCUACAUACGUAGAUAGAUACGUGGAGGUACAUUAUGCGAAUCGAGCAUCAUAGAUCGUUGCCGUUCUAAUAAAGCUAAGGGUACUUUCUCGCGAUCACCCGCAAAC